UAGUAGUUCUGAAAGAUCCCA
rnacentral:piRNA from 1 species